AGUAAUAUCUAUCUAUAUAUAAUAGGAGAGGCAAAGCAAGGAUACGAUGACAAGUGUCAUCGUCAGAAAAAAUUCAACUUAAAAAAAAAAAUGCAAGUAGCAAAAUAGUUAUCAAAUUAAUAAGGAGCAAAACAGUUAGCAAAAUUGGUAAAAAAAAAUGACGUAAAACAAAUGCAACAACAGUUUUCUCGGCAAAUUGAAAACAAAAAGAAAAACCUUCAGGGGUUAAAAAACAAUUGCAAGGUGCAGAUAAAAAAGCAAAAUAUAAAAAAUAAAAAAUCAACCUAAAAAUAAAAACCUGCAAGGGUAAAAAAAAACAAUUGCAAGGAGCGGAAAAACCCCCCUACGAAAUUCAAAUACCCACAAUCUUCCCAAACGUGGGAGAACUAACUGAUCCACGUACCUGUUCUUUGUUUCUUCUUUACAGUCGUUGUCGAUUCUCCUUUUUUUCAAAAUUGGCUUUAAUUGUUCACUAUACCAGAUAAAUUCCAUACAAUAGAAUUUGCAAGUUCGAGUAGUUCGGAUAAAUCAAAACCUGAGAUGCCAUUUUCCGUUGAGAUGAUCUUACAAGAUUAAGAGGAUCCACAGUUUCAUGACGGACAAAGCUUUGUGGAGAGAAGGUUUUUCAGAAUCUUGCUGCUACGAAAACAAGAACGAGUUUCUCCAUAUCAAUGAGCUCCAGAUAAGAAGUAUUGACAGUACUAAUAUCUGUCCAAUACAGAAGGAUUGACCAUUAUUAACAUUCUGUCCUCUCUGGCUAUAGUUGAAACACCAAAUGUGAUAGUGUUUUGAACUUAUCCUAUGGAAUAUCAAAUUAUAGUGUCAAUAGUAAAAUUCAAUUGAUGAAAUUGAAUGCAUUCUUCAAGGCUAAUACGUAGCACACUCGAAUUAGCUGUUGACUUUUUAAUUUCUUCAUUUAUCUAAGAAUGGUAAAGCCCAUAAACUUGCUUAACUAGGCCUGAAGCUUUAACUAAAUAUUAUAUUAUUUAUGCUAUCUUGAUUUUCUCUUUCUUUGAAACAUACAAUGUGUGGAUUAUGUACGUAAAUAUUAUGAAGACAAAAGAAUUCCAAAAUAUAUAACGAGCCAAUGAAUAUAAUAAAACCGGAUUUUUAUCAUGCUUCUUUGUGACUACCGUAAUAUUCAAGUAAUAUUUUCUUGCUAUUUUUUAUUUUUAUAAUUAUCCGUGCAACGUGCGGGUACGAAUAUUAGUUGGAGAAAUACCACAGAACUUUUUAGUUUCCUUCAUCGACAGGAAACUUUGCUGUUAAUUCCUUCACUGCAUCUCUCCCGGCUGAAUUUUGAAGUUGAACUUCAAAAUUCAAUUACUUCCAUGCACGUCUCCGUUGUCCUUUCUCGUCGGUUACCACCGAUCAGGUGUCUUUUUGCUUUCUACUCUUUUUAUUGUGUAUAGAAAAUUAGUAUGGUUCUGUGUGAUUUCUUCACCUAAAAAAAUCCUUAGUACUUAAAUUGAUGAUAGUACUUAAAUUGAUGGUAAUUGAUUUUAGUUUUUUCACAACAUGUUUCAUUUCGAAUUUGAUUACUGACCUGGUUGUCUUCUUAGUAUAGAUUGAAAGUAUAGGAUUCUAUUACAUUUAUUUUUAUUCUCAACUUCCAUCAGUUUGUGUUUACAACUGGUCCCACAUUCCAAAACUAUUAUUAUAGGUCAGUUUUCUUUGUAUUCUUCUUUUUUCAUACUAAUACUUUGGUUCCUUUUGUGUUUUUACUACAACUAAUUGCAAGCGAUAGCAAUAGUAAAUAUUUGAUUGAUUCAUUUUCAGCACCAUGGUAGGACGAACUUUGGUAGAACUUCUGGUGUCCGUAUAUUACAACCAUAUACUAUUAUAAUACACCACUUGAAGAAUUUGGUAAGGAGAUUUCCACUUGGAGGUUAAUGUCUUGAAGUAUGUUGUCUGGGGUCCUAUAACUUUGUCCUCAAUUUGCAUGUGCUUUUUAAAAGGCUGCGCGCACCAUCUUAAGAUAUGCCAGUCUUGUGCUCAAAGUUUGCUUGACAGUAGUUUUGUGCUGGCUUGGUUUAAGAGUAAUAUGUUGAAGAACUGAAUUAAUUGGAUGUUUAUUUCUCUGUAGUGAAGCCAUGUACUGAAGUACUCAAUGGAUGUUACGAAGAUCGUUUUAAGUGUACAUUUGCAGCCAUCGUGGCUCUUAAAUGUUAGAAAUAUGUCCAAAGGUAUUACUUAAUGCAGUGUUGUGUAUGCCAUAAACAGUAACUAUAAAAACCAAUGGGUCAGGAUACCUUGCAAGUUUUCUAUUUUCUCUUUUCAAAGUGGUAUUAUGCAAGUUUUAUAUUUUGUGGCAAACAGAAGUUUUUGUAUUAGUAUAUACAUCUUUGCUCUCAUUAAGCUUUUGUCUUCUCAAUAGGAAAAACCAGCUUGCCGAAUGGAUUGACUAAUGCGUCUCAAAUUACUUCCUUUGGCAGACAAGAGGAAGAAAAUAAUCUAUCUGGAGUAUUUUAGCAAGUUUGAACUCAAGCAGUUAGUAUAUUAUGUGUAAUAUUUUUCUAUCCAGUUCUGAAAGGAAUUUCGAAUGGUUUGUUUUCAGGAAAGAAAGCCAGAUGAAAUGGAGAAACUGGUAACUCAGUAGCUACUUCUCAAUAGAAAUGAAGGGAAAUUAUUUUACAUUUCUUGCCAUGAAUUUUCUGGACUUCAAAAUUGGUGUAAACAAAGGUAAUUUUUAGGUUUUUCUAUUUCAAUUUUGAUGGAUUAUGCUAAUCAUAUAGACUUUUUCAGUCUAUACUAAUUUGUCAGAUUGAAGUAGUGAAUGUAUCAGUUGUCCAGUCGAGAAAUAAGAGGUGUUUUCUAAGUGACAAUUUCAACAACAUGAGAAAAUAAGAGAAUGUUGAUGAGCUAAAAUUGUGCUCCAGGUGAGUUAAUUAUUUUCUAAUGGAUUUCUGGACAGACUGACAAGGCUUCAAUGCUUGAUGAAGCCAUUGUUUACCUCAAGCAGCUUCAGCAAGUAAUCUGCUGCUUUUGUUUGUAAUUUGCUGCCUGUGAUUUAUGAUUCAUGGGUUUGGUUCUAGCUUUCUCUGGAUGUAUUUUAAGUGCAUUUGGCAUGAUGGGAGUUAUUUUCUAUGGAAAUUAUUUUCUGUGAAAAAAAAUGUAUAUUAAAGAUUAAUACUAAUAAUUAGCAAAUUGGAUAGCGUCUUAAUGAGAUUCCUGAUUAUAAAUGAUUGAUAAUAAUGUCCAAGUAUGCUGAUAGACCCAAGUGUUGUGAGAUUCAAAAUUAAGAUAGUUGCAAAGAAAAAUGAGGCACAACACCAUAAUGACUUCUUACUGGAAACAUUUUUGUGGAAAAUAACCUCUGUCGUACCAUCAAACUUUGUUCUUUCAAUUAGAAAGAGUGGCUUUUGGCUCAAAGAAAUCACAAUAGGCCUAGACAGGUGUGUUUUGGUGCGAAUCCAUCUAAAUUCGAAGUAUAUCUUGAGGAGCUAGAUCCUCUCUGCCUUUGUCUUAGCUGGUGCUUUUCCUGAUUGAAUAGAUUUUAUGAACAAAAUCCCACAUUUUCAAGAGGACCAUUAUUGUUUGUUUAAUGACAGCUGAACAGAUUAAUGACCAUCCGUUUCCUGUUUCUGGCAUCUGGUACUGAACCUUCAUUUUAUUGUUUUAGUUUGGGAUUCAACUUUCUCCACCAAUGGCAUUGUGUUUCACAAAAGGACCAUUUUAGCAGAAUCAAGACUUGAUCAAAUACCUAUAUUCUCCUUUCAUGUUCAUCUGAACAAUUUUGGCUUUCUUUUUCUGCAAUAUUGAAUAGGAACUAAUGCUAUAUGUUAUUUAGAAUCGUUCAGUUGGCAGGUGACUGUUCUUUCUCCUUAAUUGGAUGAUCAAUUGUAGCAACUGGUGCGCGUGGAGUGACAUUGGCAUCAUGAGUGACGCAUUGCCUUGAAUAUGUUUGUGGAUAAUUUUGAAUGAAAUAACGAGUGUCCUGUUCUGUGAUUAGUGGUAAUUGAAACUGAAAAGACUAAUGACCAAUUAGCACUAACUUAUAUCCCUCCCUUUGUCAAUUUCAACGGCACAAACAGUGAAGAAAUGCAUAUUUCAUAGUCAACUUUAUAAGUUUUCUAGGUUAAUUUGAUGAAAUUAGAUGAACAAGUUAUUAUAUUUGCAGCUUUUACGGAGUAAGUAGUUAUUACUUAAGUUACUUUAUAUAAUAUUUCUGCUUCGUCUGUAUAUAACACCGGAGAAAGUGUUUAAUCUCCCCUGUUUCCAAUUCAUUGGAUAUUCAGUAGUAAGAAAAAUGUCAUCUUACUUGACAACAAAGAUAGACCAAGCCCGAUUCUAAUAAUGCCUCAUUACAAAAGCCGAGAUUAUAGUUUCAUUGAGAAUCCUUUUUUUUUUUGGUGUCGUACGCUUGGCUGCAGCUUUGAAUUAUAAAUAAUUACUCUAAAAGUAUUUUUUUGUCCGUCGUAUGUGAUGAAGAAAACAUCUAGGUGCGGAUGCCUCUUUAGCAAUACAUUGUUCCUACCAGUUUACACUGACUAUUAGCAAAAGUUGUGUUCUGCAAUUAGGUGAAGAAAAUUGUCAUAUGGAUGAAACUUUGUUGGAAUACCAAGCGCACGCCGUGGCAAGGUAGAUACCUUCUCUGUGGUGAGUUUUAUGGUCUCUUCUUCUGAUUAUCGGGUUUUAUUUUGUAGAAACUCUUUGAUAAUUAAAUUACAACUGCUUCCUUUGUGUAUUGCAGAGAGCUCGCUAAUCAAAUAGUUACAAGACAGUAGCACUGUCCAGAAUUUCUGUUUUGAUAGUUCAGGGUGAUUUUCACUUAUAUCAUGUUUAGUUUCGACGUGUUGAAACCAUUGAACUUAAUUAGAUAAUUGAUUGUGUAUUUAAGGUAUAUAUAUAUAUACUCUUGUACAAGCUAAGGGAAAUUGGGUAAGGAAGUCGACAUAUUUAUUUGAUCGUUGCUUUGGGGAUUUAUAACUUCUUGAUGUUUGUUUGAGCUUUAGAAGCACUAAAGCUCCAAGAUUUGCACCUAAACUUGAAAUUUUUCUUUCGAUUUAUUUUGUUUGAGAUAUUGUGAGAAGCUUGAAUCUUGGUGAAAUAAUAUGUACUUUAAAUUGUUGUCAUAUUGAUUUUGUUGCUACUUUGAUAGUUUACUUGCUUUGUUGGUUGAGAAAGAAUAUCUUGAGACACUUAAAUAUGAUAACAUUAUCAUUGGGGGUAAAAUUUUGUAAUUGAGUUAUAAGUAUGUUAAAAUCACAUUGGUGUUAUGUGAAGUAUUUUUGUAAGACGAAUAAAUUCGCCCACAUACGGAUUGCUUGAGCAUUUUUUCAUUCUUGUCGGGAUAUUGUCCUUCUUGUGAUAGUGACCUUGUCACUUAUAAUGACAUACCUCAUGGUAUUGUUCGGGUCUUGCCCAUCUUGAUUUUAGAUUUACAUUUCGUCUUGAUGAUGGACUUUUGUCCAUUUUUGAGUAUGAGUGAAAGCCACUUUCAACAUGACUCUUGAUUCUCUUGAUUAUUGGGUAACGAACCUUCUUGAUUUGGGCUUUAGUCUUUCUUGUUAUUUGAUUAUGCUUGAUGUGAUGGCAUGACGUAUGUGUUGGGCAAAAUUAACUAAUUGAAUGACCUUCUCGGAUUAGCUUGGGAAGCUUUCUUGACACUAGAGGUAUGAAUAUUGUUAUUUGGAACUACUUCUUGGGUUGAUAUUUGAUUCUCUUGAAUAUCGUACAUAGCUUACUUGGGUAAGUCUAUUCCUUGAAUUUAGUUCUUGUACUCAUUUUUUUGAUACGUAGCUCACUAGUAAACUAACCAAUUGAAUGACGUUUCAUGAAUAGCUUCGAAAGCUUUCUUGACACUUGGUAUUUGAAAUAUUAGUAUCUUGAACUAUCUUAUGGUUUAGUGGUUCUCUUGAAAUGUCGUACAUUGAUUAAGUACUUGAUGAUGACUUUGAUAUGCCCAUUUCUAGAAUUUAUUUUUGUACUCCUUACAUAGCAUACUUUUUGAUAUGAAAUGUUAGUUAAGUUUAUGUGCCACUAAGCUUUAUGCUUAGUGAUGGUUUGUUACUAUCGUAGGUGAUGUUCCGAGGGAGACUUAAGGAUGGUCAUUUGAAGUAGACUCUUUGGAAGCUUAGAUGGAGAUCACAUUUGCAUGAGCAUGUUCAUUUUGUAUACUUUUGGGGACUUGUACGUGAUUCAUGUGAUACACUUACAUAUGCACUUUUGAAUGAAAUUUGGGUCAUAAUGCUAAUGUUUUUGUAACUUGGUUUUCUUGACUAUUUUGGGAGUGUCCAUGCCCAAGUCUUGUGAUAUUUUAAAUUCAGUACUUAUGUUGAACUUGGGAAACUUAAGUAGUUUGUAAUUGAUAUUGAGAGCUGAAUUCAUGCUUGUUAUGAGCCUUGGAUGUUGUAUUUUGAAACUUGUUCACACGA